rnacentral:sRNA from 1 species
UUUGCACUCAUCGGGGAAGGGUGAGAACCUUCGACUAAGGUUCAACUCGAGCGAAAGCGAGAGAACGUUUUCACAGGCAACGGCCCGAAGGGUGAGGAGCGAAGCGACGAAUAAUCCUUUCCCCACCGCCA